rnacentral:rRNA from 1 species
CCUACGGGCGGCUGCAGUGGGGAAUAUUGGACAAUGGGGGGAACCCUGAUCCAGCCAUGUCGCGUGUGUGAAGAAGGCCCUCGGGUUGUAAAGCACUUUCAGUGAGGAAGAACGCCUGGUGGUUAAUACCCAUCAGGAAAGACAUCACUCACAGAAGAAGCACCGGCUAACUCCGUGCCAGCAGCCGCGGUAAUACGGAGGGUGCGAGCGUUAAUCGGAAUUACUGGGCGUAAAGCGCGCGUAGGUGGCUUGAUAAGCCGGUUGUGAAAGCCCCGGGCUCAACCUGGGAACGGCAUCCGGAACUGUCAAGCUAGAGUGCAGGAGAGGAAGGUAGAAUUCCCGGUGUAGCGGUGAAAUGCGUAGAGAUCGGGAGGAAUACCAGUGGCGAAGGCGGCCUUCUGGACUGACACUGACACUGAGGUGCGAAAGCGUGGGUAGCAAACAGGAUUAGAUACCCUUGUAGUC